GUGCUUCCUUCGGCAGCACAUACACUAAAAACGGAAUGAUACUGAGAUUAGCAUGGCCCCUGCACAAGGAUGUCAUGCAAAUUCAUGAAGCAUUCCAUAAUUUU
rnacentral:snRNA from 1 species